rnacentral:rRNA from 1 species
UACGAGGGGGGCUAGCGUUACUCGGAUUGACUGGGCGUAAAGGGCGCGUAGGCGGUUUGUACAGUCAGACGUGAAAUUCCUGGGCUCAACCUGGGGGCUGCGUUUGAUACGUGCAGACUUGAGUUCGGAAGAGGGUCGUGGAAUUCCCAGUGUAGAGGUGAAAUUCGUAGAUAUUGGGAAGAACACCGGUGGCGAAGGCGGCGACCUGGUCCGAUACUGACGCUGAGGCGCGAAAGCGUGGGGAGCAAACAGG